GACGAACGCUGGCGGCGUGCCUAAUACAUGCAAGUAGAACGCACAGUUUAUACCGUAGCUUGCUCCACCAUAGACUGUGAGUUGCGAACGGGUGAGUAACGCGUAGGUAACCUGCCUGGUAGCGGGUGAUAACUAUUGGAAACGAUAGCUAAUACCGCAUAAUAUUAAUUAUUGCAUGAUAAUUAAUUGAAAGGUGCAAUUGCACCACUACCAGAUGGACCUGCGUUGUAUUAGCUAGUAGGUGAGGUAACGGCUCACCUAGGCGACGAUACAUAGCCGACCUGAGAGGGUGAUCGGCCACACUGGGACUGGGACACGGCCCAGACUCCUACGGGAGGCAGCAGUAGGGAAUCUUCGGCAAUGGACGAAAGUCUGACCGAGCAACGCCGCGUGAGUGAAGAAGGUUUUCGGAUCGUAAAGCUCUGUUGUAAGAGAAGAACGGGUGUGAGAGUGGAAAGUUCACACUGUGACGGUAUCUUACCAGAAAGGGACGGCUAACCACGUG
rnacentral:rRNA from 1 species